GCAGAGCAGAAGAGGCCCAUGGCCCUCGGGGCUGAUAUAUAUUUCUCUCCUAAUAGCGCAGCACGGUUUAAUUAACUAGAUAUUGCACCCACCUGAAGACUGCGGCCCAGCUUAUUGACGCCUCCAUCUGGCUCCUAUAAAGCCGAUAAUGUAGCCAAUAAAUCCCAAGAAGGGGGGGGGGUGCUAAGAGGUAUCCUGCUCUGGCCAGGCUUCCCCAGCGCCCCCUGCAGGCUGCCGGGUGACAGGACUUGGAGACCAGCAUGGGCCCCAGGCACCUGACAGUUUGAGCCGCGCACUUCGACCUCUUCGGGGCUGUGACAGGGUAAAGCCACAGAGAAAGAUGUCCCUCUGCCUGCCUGAGCUCCUGUCCCUCCAGGCCUCUGCAGCACAGCGGAGCCCCAGCUUCCCGCUGUCUGCUGUGCUGGGCCCUGGAGACAACACCAACAGCAGCAGCAGCUCCGAACAAUGGAAAGAGAGACAUGUCGGCGAAGGGCUUUCAGCCCCUGUCCAGCCUUUUGUGCCCGGCUUACUGCGAGGGGACGAGUCCAUUCAGCCUGAGAUUAUCAAAAUCAACUCAGGGCUGUCUCGGGGCAGCUAAACACACUUUGAUUUCAUAAAGACAUAACUGAUCCCACAUGCAAAUUAAUUUCUUAGGUUAGGGACUGUGGUGUAUUUUUUCCCCUCCCUUCUGGUAAUAAAGAGCGUUGUAGAGAAAUGGCAGUUUAGUUACCGUGCACCGUGGGUGCUCAGUGCAGGGGGCAGGCUGGCAGGGGCAACCAGGGAUUUCGCAGACUCCCCUCAGAGGCACAGUGCUCGAGGUCGCCAAGCUAAGGUGGCCACAGAGCCCUCCCCACUCUGCACUGUGAGUACCUGUGGCCACCCCACGGGGCAGUGCCACACCUCCUCCUCCUGGGUCUCUGCCUUUCUUAUUCCUACCACAUUGUCUGCCCUCCCUCCUCGGGCUCCAGCCACAUAGAAAACACCUCUGCUUCCCCCGGAGGAAACCAUACAAACAGAAAAGGCAUCGGCAGAGAGACCCAGGACCAACCCCCGGGUAUGCAGUGCCACACAGAGCUCUUGCCAGCCAAGGGCCAAGCCCCUGCCACCAUGAGGAUGUGGCCUGUGCAGACCUCGGGGUGUGUGGCCUCUGAGUAAUUGCUGCACAAAGGGACACUUGGCAGUGGCCCGCCCGUCUCUGCUCCCACUUCUCGGAGCAUGCUGAGCCCUUCGCCCUGGCUCUGGUCAUCCUUCAUUAGCUCCGGGUCCCCAGGAAGGGACCCAGGCGCCCCCUAAGCUUCCUGUUACCAGAGGCAUGCCUCCCGGCCACACAACAGCCCAGUGGGAC